GAUGAAGAACGUAGCGAAAUGCGAUAAGUAGUGUGAAUUGCAGAAUUCAGUGAAUCAUCGAAUCUUUGAACGCACAUUGCGCCUUCUAGUAUUCUGGGAGGCAUGCCUGUUUGAGCGUCAUUAAACCUCUCUCAAGUAUGAUUACUUGGAUGUGAAGGAAGAGUACCUUAAACUUAAGGAGUGUUCUCCUUUGAAAUUGAUUAGCAGAUGGUAAUGUUAUUAAAUCCCUGAUGUUGUAAGAAAUAACAGUGGUUUUGUAGACUACUAUCUAGCUUUAAAUUAUAAUUUUUAUUAUGGUUGACCUCAAAUCAGGUAAGGAUACCCGCUGAACUUAAGCAUAUCAAUAAGCGGAGGA
rnacentral:misc_RNA from 1 species